CCGGACCGAACGCCGAAUCCUGCCCGCGGUCCCGGUGUCCCCUCCGAGUCGUCACCACGGGCAGGAGCGGGGGAACCACCCGUGCAAGACCGGCCGGCGCGAAAGCGCUGGCCUUGGGGUGAAGCCCCUCGCGCGCCAGUCGCGCGGGGGCCGGGCAGCCCAGCCCGAACCCGACAGCUCACCUCGUAGGCGUACGGGAAGGACCA
rnacentral:sRNA from 2 species